AUCCAGCUGACGAAUCCGAAAUAGGACGAAACGUGCGUCCUGGAU
rnacentral:hammerhead_ribozyme from 1 species